ACGGAAGGCAGCAGUGGGGAAUAUUGGGCAAUGGGCGCAAGCCUGACCCAGCAACGCCGCGUGAAGGAAGAAGGUCUUCGGAUUGUAAACUUUUGUCUUAUGGGACGAUGAUGACGGUACCAUAGGAGGAAGCCACGACUAACUACGUGCCAGCAGUCGCGGUAAUACGUAGGUGGCAAGCGUUAUCCGGAAUUAUUGGGUGUAAAGGGUGCGUAGGCGGGAUGUAAAGUCAGAUGUGAAAUGCCGCGGCUUAACUGCGGAGCUGCAUUUGAAACUUACGUUCUUGAGUGAAGUAGAGGUAAGCGGAAUUCCUAGUGUAGCGGUGAAAUGCGUAGAUAUUAGGAGGAACACCGGUGGCGAAGGCGGCUUACUGGGCUUAUACUGACGCUGAGGCACGAAAGUGUGGGGAGCAAACAGGAUUAGAUACCCUGGUA
rnacentral:rRNA from 1 species